rnacentral:lncRNA from 1 species
AUCCAACAAAUCAGAGUAUCAAUGAAGUGAAGGAAAACUGACAACCUAAUCACAAUCCAGAAUUAAGAGAAACAUGCAAAAUUGUACACAAGACAAAACAAAAACUACCUAAAAAAUGAAAAAUUUAACGCAGAAAACAUAACUAACAAAGAAAAAUUAGAAUCUCCAACGAAAAAUUUAACGCAAAAAACAUAACUAACAAAGAAAAAUCAGAAUCUCCCCCA